rnacentral:rRNA from 1 species
ACGCUGGCGGCGUGCCUAAUACAUGCAAGUCGAACGGUCUUUUCUAUGGAAGCUUGCUUCCACUGAGAAGAUAGUGGCGGACGGGUGAGUAACACGUGGGUAACCUGCCCAUAAGAGGGGGAUAACAUCCGGAAACGGGUGCUAAUACCGCAUAGUUUUCUUGAUCGCAUGAUCGAGAAAGGAAAGACGGCCUUUGUGCUGUCGCUUAUGGAUGGACCCGCGGCGUAUUAGUUAGUUGGUGAGGUAAUGGCUCACCAAGACGAUGAUACGUAGCCGACCUGAGAGGGUGAUCGGCCACAUUGGGACUGAGACACGGCCCAAACUCCUACGGGAGGCAGCAGUAGGGAAUCUUCCGCAAUGGACGAAAGUCUGACGGAGCAACGCCGCGUGAGUGAAGAAGGUUUUCGGAAUCGUAAAACUCUGUUGUCAGAGAAGAACAAGUUGGAGAGUAACUGCUCCAGCCUUGACGGUAUCUGACCAGAAAGCCACGGCUAACUACGUGCCAGCAGCAGC